CCACUGAGGCCUGACCAUCCACCGAAAUCGGUCCCGUGACGUUGAAAUCGACGAGAUUCUUGUCGCUGGUCUGAAUUCUCACUGCUCGCAGCAGCCAGUCUCCAUCAUCCGAGCUCGAGGAAGCCGAGCUUCCAAAGAAGCGUAUCAAUCGCAUCUGGCAAAUGCCCGCCAAGCAUUUGCCGCCGCUCGCCAGCCGCAGCGUGGUCUCUCCGCACCGAUCCUUUGUCUGCGGCAAAUCGGACUGCCCCCACAUCACGAAUUCCUGCUCCUCGUUUCCCAGCUCCACCAGAACCGAGACUCGAGGGGAGCUGCUCCACCGAUCCAAGCACUCGCUGCUCGGGAAGAAUGUGAGAUCGUAGCGACACUCCUGCAGCGAAAACCAAAGAACUUCGAUCUCCCUGUGAAUCGAAAGAAAAAAAGAAAAAAAAGCUUGCCGCUGUGGUGAGAGCGAUCAUCCUUGCGUCGAGAAGCAUGACGAGGAGCAGCCACCACCACCACAUCGUUACUUGACGAGCUUGCAAAGAAAACUUUCUUUCUCGUCGUGUAAGCAAUGAUCUUUCGCUCUCUCGAGCGCCUGGACGUUGGACGACGAUGGAUUCUCUUGAAAGCCACCUUAACCUUUGGCUUGAUAAUUCGACAAGCUCGGGAAUGUGGGUGGCACGACUUGUGUGCCUGUGCUUGCUUCCGCUGGCCGGGUUUGGUUUGAAUCGCAUCGUUUCAAACAUGCCUGGCAGCAUGAAUCGGUCCUGGCCAGGGAAGAAAAACUCUGGAAAAAGCACAGCAUGUUGUAGACGUGCACCCAUGAUUUUAAUGCCAAAUUACCUGGAAAAGUCGAAUUGAGCCCCACUGGAUCGAGUGAGUAUCUAGCGCAAAGUGAAAACUGUUAGAAAAAUCAAAACUCCGACUUUGUUCCCUAAGUAGUUUGAUAACGAGCUCGUUAAAAACGUUAAACGCUUACAGCCGAUGGACUUUGUGCUACCAUCGUCUUACCAACGAUGUUAGAAGCUGAGGAGAAAGUGUUAAGGAGAUUUGCACUAGAACUAGAAUGGAAGUUACUUCACCUCGAAAAACUCCAGAAUGCUUCCUUUCUUAACGCUGGUGUCCCUGCUCGUGUCCUCAUUUGGGAAGAGAGCCGUGAAAAGCGUUCGCCAGGAAACCAGAAGAACGAAAGUGCUCCCCAUACUGAUCAAAAUGAAAGUUUGCGGUGGAGUGUGACCCGUGAUCAACGUUCGAAUGACUAGGCCCAGCUGCUCACAUACAACUAUUAGCUACGUCUUUCGAGAGAUCUUCGUACUUACGGGAAUGCUUACGCCCCAUGACUUGAUUGCUGAAAAGGUAGCACCACGCAAGCCGUAGAGUCCUUGACCCUCCGGGCCAAAGCCACCGAGAAAAUAAGCUCCCAGCAGCCACCCUGAACGGACAACUCGUCAGCGUAAAGCUCCAAAGUUUUAUCACCUAGAAGAAAACGUUACCGGCAAUGAAAGGAUCAGCAGUCCUGAAAAUGUCCCAGCUGAGCGGCGACGAUCCAUGGUUUGCUCGUCCAAUCGACGCGAACGCGAGCAAAGCUAGCAAAUCUCCUCCAGCUAGAACAAGUACUCUCCUGGAGAAAGAAAAAACCUUCAGUACACCACCGAAAGAGAGAGCUCAUACAUACCCCCACGAUGGUCGAGCUGUUCUCUCCUUGUCCACCUUUAUCACGCCUUCCACCUCCACACCUUCGUCCUCCACCGCCAAAGUCUUGAAGCUGGGCUCUUGCUGCGUGUCCUGAGCUCUUCGAAGAACUGGGCGACGGACGGAUUGGACAAGCCUGGACCUGGAAAACGCACACUCGACCUCGGAGGUGGCUGCUCGGAGACCCAGAUUGCGUCGCGACAGGGAGCUCAAAGAACACGACUGAAGUGGCAAUGAAGAAGACGAUGCCACUCCAGAGCUAUCCACGGAAGAACAAAGCGUGGAGCUGCUGCUACUGCCGCUACGAACAGAAGCUGGCUGGAUAACUCGAGCCGCCCCCAUGGGAAUUCAAAACGAGAAAUAGAGAGAAGAGCUACAAACCCUGUCGGAGGAUAGAAUCGUUGAAAAAAUCAAUUUUCCGGACAAAUUAGAACAAAAAAAUACUAUGCGAAAGACAAACCCGACUAGAAGAUAGCCUUGGAACGCUUCUUGGCCUCACUGUAGAGGAUCACUCCGAGAAUGGUGAUGGUGAAUCCUGCCAGCCCGGUGAGCGUAACCGGGUUCCGGAAGAUAAGAACCGAGAUGACUGCAGCAACCGCGGCUUUGGCAUUUCCCAGGACCUGGAGAGUGAGAGCGCUCGUGUGCUUGGUAACCAGGAAGUUGAAGAGGUUGACGGAGUAAGCGAUCAUCAUGUUGGCGGCGAGAACCAGCAGAAACCACGGCUUCUUCUCGGCCUCGCUCGCUAUAACGCCGAAAACGUUGCCUUCUAUGAAGAGUGCCGCUGGAAGGAGGAGGCCGACCGCAAUCGGAGCCAUGUACAUGAGGAGAUUCAUCGAGUGGAGCUUCUCCGCUUCUGAAGUGAGCAGCAGCCCCUGGACCACUGACUUGAGAGCUCUCGCUGCUGUGGACACAAGGCAAGCUACAAAUCCCACGACGUUGAAGAGCGGCUCGCCGUUGCUGGCUAGAGCUAUUCCCAGGACCACCGGGACCAGCGCCAUGUAAACUGUCCCUGUUUCCUUCUUGCAGGUGAUAAGGAAGGCGAAGAUGGCAGUGAAGAACGGCGUCGUCGCACCUAUAGCCUGGUUGAAAGAAACUGGAAGGUACCUCAGCGACAUGUUUCCACUCACGACGGACAAGGAGAAGAUGGAGCUGAGCGCCACGAUCUUGAGAAGCUGGCUUCGGGAUCCGAUGUACUGGAUGGGGACGAUGUUAAGCCACCCAACAGCAAUGAAGCUGCUGAUAGAGCAAGAACACAUGUGUAGCAUCGUCAGGAAGACCGGGUACCUGAAUCCAAAGUAGCUCAGCAGGUACUUGUUGAGCAGGAGAACUCCAAUGUUGGAUGCGUACCAAGACAAAAUGAUGAGACUUGUAGCGAAGCCUGCCGAGCUCUGGUGCUUGGAUGCUGCAGAAGGCUGGACCGUCGAAGGAAUGUCGAGCACGGAGAUGGAUUCUAGCUUCGGGUUGCUAUUCCGACGGACCCAUGUCGUCUGGUGAUGAGAAUCCAUACUGCCUUCUCGCCUGAGAUUGACAGAUACCUAUCUUCUCGUGCUAUCUCGGUCCGGAAAUUCCCCGAAUAUUCAAGCUGCAAGCCGGAGUUCAUUAGCUUCGGCGUCAAGGAAACGAAGACAGGCUUACUUCCCGAGAAAAAUUUAGAAUCGCGAGACCAAAGCGCGGUUUUGCUUCUACUCUCCAGCUUUCCAGUUUGGUAUGUCAGCUGUUGCCUGGUUGAUCAUCUUGACAAGCAUAGCCUGUAAGUGACGCGACGCAGCACGAACAAUAAGACAAGAAGUAUAAUAUGAGAGAAAAAACGUACCACACUUCCUGGGACAUUUGCAGGUGGCAGUGUUAAAUUUCGCGGAGGAGCACCUGCUGUAAACGAUCUCUUAUCGAAACGCCAUUCUCCAACUUUCCCGUACGUCAAAACACCCUGAGACGAGGAAGCUAACUUCAUUUGGAUGCGUAACAGUAAGUGUACUACCUCCAGAGUGUAAUCGCAGCCGUAUGUGUAAUGGAUGAUAUAUUUGUCUCCCAGUGAUGUAUCCCAAGGAGGCUGCGAGAAACCAUCAGCAAAAUCAAUCUCCACAGCAACUAGAUUGAAUCCAAACCUGAAUCAUAAAGUCCUUACGCAAAGUGUGCUUCACACCGUGAACAGCGGAAGCAAUAGCAUACGCGUACCUAUGAACAACAUGGUAGGAUCAACAACACCAUAGGAAAAAAGAGCUCUAUACUUACAUCUCCAAAACCCAGCCAAAUGCUUUAUCAGUCUCCUGGUCCUGCUUCAUUUGAAUCGAAAGAUUGUGCCAAGUUGGAGCAAUUCUUAGAAGCUGAGCCUGCAAAGUCCACCAAGCUGCGAGGAAGUCUUUCCCAAGCUCGAAAAACCUUGCGUACCUUGUGAAUGAUCGCAGGAGAAUUUCCCACCGGAUCGAUAGCUUGCACAGGUCCUUUGAAAAACUUUCCAACCUCGCGCUUGUAUUUCUCAGGAGUGAUGUAAAAGAAUGGAAACGCCGCGGGCCGCAGCCUGGAAGCCAGAUUUGGAAGAGGCUUCGUGAUGAGAUGGUCGGGCUCGGCCAUGAAGAUAUAGCUGCGAAAGAGGUAACCAAAGUUCUCGAGCAACACGAAGAAAAGUAGAACAACGUACUCUUCCUCAAUGGUAGCAUUGCGAAGCCACUGGACGAAAGCCCAAGGUCGAUGGAGUACUAUGUAUCCCUGCGAAGCAAAGAAAGAAAGAAAAAAAAAAUUCUGGGAGAAAGAAAGAAGCAAAGAUCACGCUACCUUGUCCAAACCGGAGGGAAGAGGAUCGGCAACGAAGGUCGGGAUCUCAUCCAUGAGAUCGUCCGGAGCUGCCGAGUGGAGAAUUCUCGUGAAUCCGCCCAUCUCCGACCCUGGCUGGUCCUUGAACUUCUUAAACCAGUAGUACAUGAUCCGGCAUUGCCAGCGCGCGUAGGAUCCCGAGGAGGAGGUCACUACCGUGUGGAAGAGCUUCUUCUUGCCGCCGGGAUUGAAAUCGAACUCCUCCCCGCCGCCGAGAGUGCUGUCGUUUGCGGCGAUGAAUCUAGCGGUGUUGUAGAUCGCUGCAGUGAAUGCCACAAAGAGGAGUACCAGAAAGAAGAAGCUGAUCCUUCCCAUUCCCGUGCGGCGCCGGAGAAUCCUUCCGCCCUGACGGUAGAUCGAAGCGAAAAAACUUUUAGGGUUCUAUAGUGGAGGGCUACUUUUUUACCCUUUCCAAGUAAAGCCCAUACUGCGCCAACCGAGAUAGAAGACGAUACUCUUUAUUACAAAGGAUGAGAACUUGAGAAGCGAAACCAGCUAAAGAAAGCUCCACAAACGUCGUAGCAACUAUAGAUUAAAUUCACGAAAGAGAAGACAUGAUUGAUCUAAAAGGAUCGCCGCGAGACGUAGGAUUUGAAGACGUCGUUGAGCACAGUCUUUGAAACCAGCGACGCCUUGAGCAGAGACAAGGCCUGAAGUCAAAAGAAACAUUGGAAGAUCAGAGUGCGAGAGAGAUCGGUUUAAACCUCGUGAGCGCCAACGCUGACCUCGAUGCUCUCGAGAUCGGCCAUAGCUUUCACCUUGAGCUUGUUGAGCAGGACGAUGCUCUUGAUGGUCGAAGUCGGGUACACCUCGAGCUCGUCGGUGAUCAUGAAGAUCACAUUCUCCUUCACGUAGCCAGCAGUUUUGGUGGAGUUUUCUUCGUUGGGUAGCAUCGUCAACUGUACAGGUUGAUAGCUGUAGGGAUGGCAUGAAAAGGAUGCACUGCCAGCCCUCGCAUUGUAGCAGCUACUGCACCCACACUUAUAGUACACCGGGGAAGUAGUCGACUGCGGGUUUUCGAUGGCGAGCAUCUUUCCUCCACGGAACGCGGAAGCAUCCGGCGCUGGAUUGGUGAGAACACUCUUACUGACUUCCAUGCUCGACUGAUCCAUCUUCUCGAUACUCUCAAACAGCCUCAUGGCACCGGUCUCCAUGCCGGAAUCCACAGUUCGCAGGAGCUUGAUCACAGACCCCACCGGAAGCACGAGAAAGCUCAUGAGGAGAUCGACGAAGUCCUUCUUUGCCUCGAGGAAAAGAACAGUGCCAUCCGGCUUCUUGUAGAGGAGAUUGACCUUCAUCUCCACGGCAGAGCUAGCGCGCGGCAUGACCGUUUUCGAAAAAAAACUGAGAGAGCUCGAAACUUUCUUGUUCCGGACAAGACACUCGCCAUAAAUACACGAAUGCGAACCACUUUGGUUUGAUUGAAUAUACAGUCUCGCUUAUUCCAAGGCCUUGCUUAUGGUCUCAAUCAUCACAUAAGAUCUCCAAAAUCACUAUAUGCCUUCAAACUUUAAAGCCUUGGAGCUUUUGAUCAAUGCCUCUCAUCUUGAAACUCGCGUAGGAAGUCCUCGUCUUUGAAAGGAAAGCUCCCGUACUCCUACAACUCCAACCCCUUCUCUCGUGAAACACCUCUGCCAGUCGAGUCCUGGCUGCUAGCGAUUGACAAGCUCUCAACAUUUCCAUCGCGACCAUAAGCCUCGAGCAGCAAAAGCCAUGAGGGAUGGUUCCAGGCUUGUGGAGAAGAUUUUCAAGAAAAUGCCAAGCAGGGCGGCGUUGUUAUAAUCAUGUGAUUAGUGUUAAUCAAUGUGGCUUAAAGUAUGACUAAGUUAAAUUUAGUCAGUUUAUUUUACAGAGAUUAAUUCACGACUAAUCAAGGUUUUUGGGGGACAUGGUGGAAGUGGAGCAUGCUCACAGCUGUAAGCAGUGGAGCAGAGGGCUUGGGGGUGGCUGGGUGGCAAUCUGCUUUGCAUCAGCGUGGUAACUUUUCAUUAGGUUCUAACAGAUGUUCCAUGGAAAGCAAAAGAGCUCUAGGAAAACGAUGAUCUCUGAGUUGAAGAUGUGCCAGGCCAUUUCCAAAUGCUAGGCAACCAUGAGUACGAGCUAGAGUUUUAAACUCUUUUAACUUAUUAUUAAGGUUCCCUUUUAGGGUUCUAGCGAAAGCUUUUUAAUCUAGCGAGCGACUAUGGUGGGUUUCAGGGAUCGCAAGAAGAUGGAGCUGGAGGAGGCGCCGUCGGAGCUCGACGAGGACCGCAAGGAGAUCAAUCCUCACAUUCCUCAAUUCAUGUCUGCCGCGCCGUGGCAUGUCAAUGAAGCCAAGGCGACGCUCAAGCACCAGCGCAACUGGAAAUCCAAGCACAAAUCCGGCUGCGCGGCCAAGCGGCACGAUCGAGGACGCAAGACGCACCAGGCGACCAAGUACCGAAAGGGCGCCUGCCAGAACUGCGGUGCCAUGACGCACGAUGCAAAGGCGUGCCUGGAGCGGCCGAGGACUGUGGGCGCGAAGUGGACCAACAAGAGCAUUGCGGCGGACGAGGAAGUCGAGAGCUUGGAGCUGGACUACGAUGGCAAGAGGGACCGGUGGAAUGGAUAUGAUCCGGCCAGCUACUCGAGCGUGAUCGAGCACUACGAGCGCCGGGGCAAGGCACGAAGCAAGUUUAGGAAGGUGGAGCAGCUCAAGAAGAUGAUGGAGCCUAGAGGUGGCGACGAGGAGGAAUCCAAGACCAGUGACGAAGAGGAUCACGAUCACGACGAGGCCAAAGUUGACGAGAGCAAGCAGAUGGAUUUCGCGAGGGUGGAGAAGCGAGUGAAGACUGCCGGGGGUGGGAGCACUGGGACUGUGAGGAACUUGCGGAUCCGAGAGGACCAGGCCAAGUACUUGAAGAACCUCGAUCCAAACUCGGCACACUUCGAUGCAAAGUCGCGAUCGAUGCGCGAGGACCCGCUGCCCGGCAGUGAUCCUAGCGAGAAGUUCUACGCGGGAGACAACCAGGACAGGAUGACCGGCGAGGCUCGCGACUUUCAGCUGCUAAACAUCCACGCCAUGGAAGCUUAUGCGAAGGGAAAAGGCAUCCAUCCCCAGGCAGCGCCGUCGCAGGCCGAGCUUCACCACAGGGAGUUUAAGACGAAGAAGGAGAAGCUGAAGCAGGAAACUUCGGCCAGGAUCAAGGACAAGUAUGGGAACGCUGCUUGCGAGGAGAAGCUCCCCGUGGAGCUGCUUCUCGGCCAAACCGAGACGCAAGUCCAGUAUGAUAGAGCUGGAAGGGUGAUCAAGGGAAGCGAGGGAGUGAUCGUGGUCGCAGCUAGCAAGUAUGAGGAGGACGUCUUCCUCGGCAACCAUACCAGCGUGUGGGAAUCGUUCUUUGCGAACGGGCAGUGGGGAUUCAAGUGCUGCUGGCAAUUUGUCAAGAACAGCUACUGCACUGGGGAGGCCGGGAUCGCCGCUGCACAGGCCUCGGCUCAGAGUCUCUUGCGGGAGAAUCGAAGAAGUCUUGAAGGUGGAGAAGAGAUUAUCGUCAAGCGGGUGUGUGAUCUUGACGAGAAGAAACUCGAGCAGACUCUCGAGAGGAUAGAGGAGGCCGAGAACGAAGAGAAGGACGAGAGGAAGAGGAAAUACAAUGCGGCGUCCUCGCACGACGUCUUCACUGCCGAAGAUCUCGAAGCUUACAGGAUCAAACGCGCCCAUUCCGAUGAUCCAAUGAUAGAUUUCUUGUAAACUUUGUAUAGAAAUGGAUCGAUCACUUGCUCCUUUGUGGACGAUCCCAAGUGCGAGCGUUCUUGCAAUAGUACGUAGAGCUCCUCUACACACAAAGUUGGCGAGCUUCCACUUCUAGUCGCGCUAAGAUAUGGAAUAUUCUAAAGAUGCUUCGUUCCAGAGGGGCCUAUGCCCAUCUCUUGAAGACGGCGGGGCGCGACCUCGCCCUCGCGAGGACGAUCGAGGAGUGGAUAAAAAAGGAUAGAUUGGAUGGCGAUCUCUACAUCGCCAAUCUGCUGCUCCAUUUCUACGGCCGGAGCGGCGGCGCCCACGACGCCCGGCGAGUCUUCCUCGAGAUCCAGCGCCCCAAUGUCUUCUCUUGGAACAUCCUCUGCCAGGCGCUUGCCGAGAAUGGGCAUCAGUCUGACGCCACCGAGCUCUUCCACCAGAUGCCGCGGCGCGAUCCAGUGUCGUGGUCGUCAAUCGUCGCCGCGCAAGUCGAGAGCAGCAAUCUCGCGCUGGCCUUUGAGUUCUUCGCCAAGAUCCCGCAGUGGAGCAUCUACUGCGUCAACGAGAUCGUUACAGCAUUUGCCCGUGGGGGCUAUCUGGAGCAAAUGAAGGAUCUGUUUGACAGGAUGGUCGACCGCAGUGUGAUCUCGUGGACGACAAUUCUUACCGGCUAUGGUGAUCUCUGUUUGCUAGAUCUUGCCGUGGAAGUGUUUGACAAGAUCCCGCAGCGCAAUAUCGUUGCUUGGAACGCAAUGCUUGCGGCAUUUGCCUUAAAUGGCCAUUUGGAAAAGGCGAGGCGUUUGAUGGAUGAAAUGCCCGAGGCGGAUCUCAUCUCUUGCGCGACAAUGUUGGCGGCGCUGGGAGAGUUUGAGCAGCACGAAGAAGCGGAGUUUCUCUUUAGGAAGAUGCCGGUGAGGAACUUGAGGAUCUGGAACUCCAUGGCAGCGGCGUAUUCGCACAAUGGUCUCGUCGAUCAGGCCGAGAUCUUCUUCGAGAGAAUGCCACAGCAUGAUCUCGUCUCGUGGAAUUUGAUUCUCAAGGCCUACUCGAGGGUGGGAUUCAUGGCCGAGGCACAGGAGAUCUUUGAAAAGCUCCCGAGAAGAGACUCCAUCUCAUGGAACACACUCAUGGUUGCCUAUGGAAGAGCAAAGCAUUUGGAAAUGGCCUGGCAGGUCUUCAAGCGUAUGCCUCAGAGAUCAUCGGUGUCGUGGGCUGUGUUGCUGGAGCUCUUCGCUUUCCACGGAGCAUCGUCUAGGCUUGUGGAGAAGAUUUUCAAGAAAAUGCCGAGCAGGGACCAUCUUUCAUGGCUGUUGCUGCUCGAGGCUUAUGGUCGCGAUGAAAAAGUUGGCGCGAUGGAGAGUUUGUUUCAGGCGAUGCCUCGGCAAUCGCUAGCAGCCGGGACUCGUCUCGUAGAGGCGUUUCACGAUAAUGGUUUUGGAGAGAAGGGGUUGGAGUUGUACGAGAGCUUUUCUUUCAAAGAUGAGGAUUUCCUAUGCGAGCUUCAAGAUGAGAGGCAUUGAUCAAAAGCUUCAAGGAAUCAAGCGGAUAGCUCUCCUUUUUUCUUCCCAUACGUUUUAGAUCAUGCCUUGGUAGUAUGCAAGGCCUUGGAUUAAGCGAACCUGUCAUAUAUCUCGCAAACCAAGGAAUUAGAACUGAAUUUCUUCUCAGAAAGUUUCGAGGCAUUCGUGUCAAUAUAAGUGAGUCUCUAGACGGAAAAGCUUGGAGCUCUCUCAGUUACUUGAUCAUGCCGCGUGCUAGCUCUUUACUCCCCUGACGUGGAGUAAAUGUUCUCCAGCUCGUCAUAGUUAAAGAAUAAGGAAGCCAUGAGGGUUUGAAGUCGCCAUGGCAGCCAGCCUGAAGGUCGACCCUCGGAAUCCAAUACCAUGUGAUCAUGUGAGAACGUCGACAACAUGAUCGAGACUGCCAUUUCGAUGAUCCAACGAAAGAGUAGUGCUUAUUAUUUAUUAAUCCAAUUGAUCUUGUCAAUUUUGUAUAGAAAUAGAUCGAUCACUUCGCGGUAGAGUGGCUUGUCUUCGUACAAACGCGCGCUUCCUUGUAGACGAUCCCCGGCUUGCACAGAUAUCCUUCCUCCGGAGCGCAGUGGCGAUCUUCGCUGCAAACACACAGCCCUCCGGGCGCGCAGCCAUCGCUGGAGCUCACCACACUCCCUCGGAUCCCAAGCACAGCAUCCGACCACUCGCUGGAAAACCAGCCGUCGGGAUCCAUCUUUCGUCUCACCUCGAGAAACUUUGCGAGGUUCCUCGUCUUGGAUCUGAUGUUCUUAAAAGUGUGAGGCCGGUUCUUCCCGAGGUGAGGCAUGCCAUCGUACUUGAACAGGAGGAUUUGCUCCAGUUCUUCCAUGAUCGCCUCGUACGCUUGUGGACGAGCAGAGUCCCUGUGAUUGAACGCGAAGAACUCGACGUGCGUCACGUCCCUCUUCUCGCCGAGAUAAGCUCUGGAAGCUCUCACGUUUCGCAGCCACAGCCCUCCAUAGGUAUCGAUCGCGCACAUCGCCGUGGGAUCUCUCGCCAGGAUGGCUUUCACGUCGCGGAUGAAGCUGCUGACCUGUGACAAAGCUAUGGAGAUCGAGACGUCGAAUCCGAAGAAGCCGUGAGCGUUGAAAUCCCAAGCACAAACCAGCCUCUCGGCCUCCGGAAGCUCCAAGUUCGUGAGGUUCUCGUAAGUGUACUGACAUCCUCCCGUUGUUUGGAGCUUGUGGUUGAAUCCAACCACGGGGAAGCCUGUGAAGCUGCUACCAUCGUUGAGAUAUCCACUGCCGGAGGACACCUUGCUCCUCAUGGUAACGUGAGCGUUCUCACAAUAGUACGUAGAGUUCACCGUAGCUUGAGCGCGCUCAUCUACAAAGCACUCGUGAGUCACACAGAGUUGGCGAGUUCUCAGGAAGUUCCUCAGAAGUUCUCGGGAAGUUUUUCCUUACGUACCAUCUAAUCGCGCUCGCUUUGCUGCUGAUGCCUUCACCGGCUUGAAUCCCGCUAGCGUGAACACACCCUCGCCCGUACGAGUCACUGGAACUCGAUCAUCCCUCUUGAGCACAAACUUCUUCACGGAUGGAAACCAGUACAUGUCUCCAAACUCGUGCCUCCUCGCCAGAUCCACAUACUCCUCCUCGAGCGACGCAUCGUCCAUCGCCACCGGAGCCACGGACCUCUUAAACAUUGGCUCUACGGCAAACGUGACCUGUGACACCGCUCCAAGAACUCCCAGAGAGAUCCUCGCGGCAUUGAAGCUCUCUGGCUCCCGAUCAGUGAGAGUGACCACUUUCGCGAAUCCCUCCUCCUGGGACGCUGGAACCACGAUCCUCAUCCCCACGAGAUACUCGUGGGUGCCACCGCCAAGGCCCCACAGACUGCUACCAUGGGCUCCAGUGCUCACCAUCCCAGACACCGAAACUCCAUCCCAGAAUGUGGUCUGCACGAGCGCAAAUCCCUUGCUCGCUGCCUGAUCGAUCAAUUCUCUCAGACCAACUCCAGCAUCCGCGAUCACGGUCAUGGAUUUCUCGUCCACAACUACAGUGGAAUUGUACUUACUGGUGGAGAUCAGGACUCCCGGGUUGGAUCCGUCGUUGGGACAGGCGAUCUUGUUGUGAGAGUGGACGUUCUUGCUUACCACUUUCACCUUGUGCUUGUGACGAACAGCAAACGCCACGGCCGCGACGAGCUCGGGCUCGCUGGUGGGGAAGAAAACCCUGGCGACUCUGCAGGGCUUGCGAUCCGGCCAUGGCCCACGGAAGUAAUUGUGGAGCUCGCAGCUGCCGCCACUGAUGCUGCUUGCGCACUCGAUCGUCGCCUCCGCGCUGGAAAUCUCUCCGGAGAGCGUCGCGAGGAGGAGCAGCGAGAGAAACAUUGCCAAACGAAUAAGAAAAGUUAUUACAAAAAACUGUUAGUAAAAUAUUCGAAAGAUGCUUCGUAUCUCCUCGCGAGAACGAUCGAGGAAUGGAUCAAGAUGGAUUGGAUUGGAUACAUCGCCAAUCUGCUGCUCCAUCUCCACGGCCGGAACGGCAGCGCCCACGCGAGUCUUCCAAACAUCCUCUGCGCCGAAAAUGGGUAUCUCCGACGCCACCGAGCUCUUCCACCAGAUGCCGCGGCGCGAUCCAGUGUCGUGGUCGUCAAUCUUCGCCGCGCAUGUCGAGAGCAGAAUCCUCGCCCUGGCGUUUGAUUUCUUCGUCAAGAUCCCGCAGUGGAGCAUCUACUGCGUAAAUGCGAUUGUGACAGCAUGCCUGUGGGGGGGUAUACAGAUCGAAUGAAGGACCUCUUCGACAGUAUGGUCGAUCGUAGCGUUAUUCCGUGGACGACGAUUCUUACCGGAUAUGGAGAUUUCUUCUUGCUAGAAAUUGCCGUGGAAACGUUCAAAAAGAUCCCGCAGCGCAAUAUUGUUGCUUGGAACGCAAUGCUUGCGGCUAUUGCCUUUCAUGGGCAUUUCGACAAGGCGAGGCAUUUGAUGGAUGAGAUGCCCGAGGAGGAUCUCAUCUCUUGCGCGACAAUGCUGGCGACGCUGCGAGAGUUCGAAAAGCAUGAAGAAGUAGAGUUUCUCGCUAGAAAGUUGCCGGUGAAGAACUUGAGAUUCUGGAACUCCAUGGCAGCGGCAAUGGUCUCGUCGACCAGGCCGAGAUCUUGUUCAAGAGAAUGCCGCAGCAUGAUCUCGUCUCGUAGAAUUUGAUUCUCAAAGCCUACUCGAUGGUGGGAUUCAUGGCCGAGGCACAGGAGAUUUAUGAAAAGCUCCCGGGAAGAGACACCAUCUCGUAGAAGGUUGCCUAUGGAAGAACAAAGCAUUUGGAAAUGGCUUGGCAGAUCUUCAAACGUAUGUCUCAGAGGUCAUCGGUCUCGUGAGUUUUGCUCCUGGAGCUCUUCGCUUUCCAUGGAGCAUCGUCUAGGCUUUUGGAGAAAGAUUUUCAAGAAAAUGCCGAGCAGGGACCAUCUUUCAUGGCUUUUGCUGCUCGAGGCUUAUGGCCUGGAUGGAAAAGUUGACGCGGUGGAGAGCUUGUUCUGGGCAAUGCCUCGUAGCAGCCUGGACUCGUCUCACAGAGGCGUUUCACGAUAAUGGUUUUGGAGAGAAGGGGUUGGAGUUGUACGAGAGCUUUUCUUUCAAAGACGAGGAUUUCCUAUGCGAGCUUCAAGAUGAGAGGCAUUAGUUUUCCAUUACUCUCUCGGAGGAAGCGGAGAUUCUGAGCUAUAAAAUCGGAUAGUGAUUCUGGAGAUCUGAUUCAUGCGGUCCUGUGACAUACGUUUACAUCAUGCCUUGGUAUGAGCAAGGCCUUGGAAGAAGCGAGCCUGUCAUAUAUCUCCAAGGAAUUAUAAGUGAUUCUCUUCUAGAACGUCAUUCGUAUACACGUUUCGAGCUCUCUCAGUUUUUUUCUUGAAGAAUCAUGCGGCCCGCCAGCUCUUGCUCUCCUGCCGUGGGGAUGAAGGUCAAUCUCCUCUACAAGAAGCCGGAUGGCACUGUUCUUUUCCUCGAGGCAAAGAAGGACUUCGUCGAUCUCCUCAUGAGCUUUCUCGUGCUUCCGGUGGGGUCUGUGAUCAAGCUCCUGCGAACUGUUGAUUCCGGCAUGGAGACCGGUGCCACGAGGCUGUUUCAGAGCAUCGAGAAGAUGGAUCAGUCGAGCAUGGAGGUUAGCAAGAGUGUUCUCACCAAUCCAGCGCCGGAUGCUUCCGCGUUUCGGGGAGGAAAGAUGCUCGCCAUCGAAGGCUCGCAGUCGAUUACUUCCCCGGUGUACUAUAAGUGUGGGCAUCCUAGCUGCUACAAUGCGAGGGCUGGCAAUGCAUCCUUUUCAUGCCAUCACAGCAGAUAUGAAUCUGUGGAGCUGACGAUGCUACCCAACGAAGAAAACUCCACCAAAACUGCUGGCUACGUGAAGGAGAAUGUGAUCUUCAUGAUCACCGACGAGCUCGAGGUAUACCCAACUUCGACCAUCAAGAGCAUCGUCCUGCUCAACAAGCUCAAGGUGAAAGCUAUGGCCGAUCUCGAGAGCAUCGAGGUCAGCGUGGGCGCUCACGAGGUUUAAACCGAUCUCUCUCGUACUCUGAUCUUCCAAUGUUUCUUUUGACUUCAGGCCUUGUCUCUGCUCAAGGCGUCGCUGGUUUCGAAGACUGUGCUCAACGACGUCUUCAAAUCCUACGUCUCAAAGCGAUCUUAUUAUCAGGCCUAGAUCAAUCACAAAAAUCAUGUCAUGAUGUUAGAUUUCUCGUGUAGUUUGUGCUAGUUACGUAAACACUAGAAAGAAUGAUGACAAAGUUUGUGGAGUCGAGCUUUCUUAAUAAGUUGGGCGUGUUUUUGCGGGGUUUUCUUCCUGCUCUCGAUUUCUCAUCCUUAGUGAAAAGUACCGGCUAUGUCGCGUUCGACUCGAGCUGCUUUCCGCGGAGGUGAUGCGAGUGAAUCUCCUGUACAAGAAAGAGCAGUGGCAAGGUUCUUCCAUCGGCGUUGGCGCCGCAAAGUUGUAUGACAGCGUCGAGAAGAUGGAUGAGUCGAGCAUGAAUCCAGAGCCGGAUUCUUCCGCGUUUCGUGAGGAUCGAAGCGCCGGCUACUAAAUGUGCUGAUUAUUUGGGUCUACGAUAUGAUCAAGGCGAGGAAGCUGUCAAGCUCAUGUCCUGUCAUGGUUUCGGUGCCGGUGUUAGGAAGAUGACCAUUGUUUCUUCGGCCAAAGAAGAAGAAGAAGCCGCGAUCGCGAAGGCAACCAAGUUCGGCUACGAGAAUGUGAUCUUCAUGAUCACGGACGAGCUCGACGACAUCCACGAUCAAAAGCAUUGUUUUGCUCAACAAGCUUAAGGUGAAGAGCAUGGAUGAUCUCGAAGCAUUGAUAUGAAAGUGAUCUUGGAAGUUUUUCUUUGACUUGAUCCGAUUUUAUGAACAGGUUCUUCGCCUGCUCAAAGCGUCGCUGGUUUCCAACACUGUGCUCAAUGACGUCCUCAAAACUUACGUCCCGUGAUUAGCAAGUGUAAUGUGAUUGUAUUCCAAGAAUCUUUGCUACUAGAGAUGGAAAGUUAGAUCUCCAAUCUGUAAAACUAUGCUAAGCUACUUAUCUUUCAGUGUGUUGUCUCGAACUGACGGCAAUGGUGAUCGCCUUUCUGACCUUGGGAGGCUCUUGAGAACAUCUCGCAAGGCGUAGUAGUGGCUGUCACAUUUGUGAUCGGAUAGCAUCGAGCCAGUGAGCACAAUCCUGCUAAAUCUCGCAUCGCGAUUGACCAGCCAGAGCGAGCAUCCUUGAGCAGCACUGUCACCCUGUUGAUCUUUCGUCGAAGCUCGACCGCAAAGAUGAUAAAGAGUUCCUGGUGAGUAUAGCUCCUCAUGUUCCUUUACGGUCUUUGUCGCCUCACUCUUUGAAGAUUCAUCCUUCUCCAUGAUUUGGUUUUUUGGAUUUUGUGGAGUAGCUUCUUUUUCUGUAUAGGCUGCAGUCAGUGCAAACUCUUCUUUUUUCUAACCAGAAUGAUGGAAACUCACUUGGUUCAUCUGAAAGACCACGAAGCUUUGCAUAUAUGGCGUACCUACGCGCUGCUUCCUGCACAGAAGAGAUCGCUUGAAGUGUGCUGGCCACCAUGUCGAGAAGGCCUGUGCGAUUCUCCUCCUCCUUGAAGGCAUUCAUCCUGAUACAAGAAGAAAAAUCGCUGUAAGCUAGGAAUGUUCUAAGCAUCACUUACCAAUCGAGCAGAAGUAUCUCGUCUCGCAGUCUUUCCAAUGCAGCAGCACUCAUUCGUGGUAUUACGUCAUACUGCUUGAAACUGUUCGAGAUUAUCUUUCCAGUUGACAAGCAAAGACAAAAUACAAACCUGUAAAGCUAGCGUUGUCACGUAGCCUGCGCAUUCUACAGCCAGACUUUUGGAGACACAGGGUGGUGUUGCAAUACCAAUGGCCGCAACUUGUUCCGGAGGAAUACCAAGAAGUUCCACCGAUCGUUUGUGUAGCAUCAUCGCAAGCAAAGAUGCUGUGGCACCCCCCAAAGAGUGGCCAACAAUACGAAGUCCAUACCCCUUUAAAACCACGAAAGAAGUUACUUCACAAAAACAUGAAAAGCACAAGAACAAAGAUAGGCUCACCAUGUUUUCUUGCAAACAUUUCCUUAAAGUUUGCACCUCGUUGUGAAAAAACCACCUUGCAGCUUGUGCUGUCCCAAAAUGAGCAUUGCCCUCGUUGAAAAUUUCUUCCUCGCCGUGUGAUGCCAAGUCCGUGAUGAGAUCAUGAAUCGACUGAGUCCCGCGGAUUCCCAGGAUCACAGUUUGCGCCCUAUGAUCCAACCCGAUGUAAUACGCAGGUCGCAUCACGCUGGCCUUAUCCACAAACUUAACGACGUUGCUCUCCUUGAGCAUGGAAAUCCGUGCGAGCGCUGCCUCGUUUUUCAAGUAGGCUCCUUUGGCAAGCUCCACGUAGUAGAUAAAAUCUUCCACCUUGUGAUCAAUCAAGAAGGCUUGUUAAAACUUUUCUCCUCCAAGAAAGAAACGAAGAACUCACCAGGACAUCGGAUUUAACUUGGACUCCUUCGACCACGUCCACAGCGCCUUCGGCAGCAUGGUGAAGAGAAAGGAGAUACAAGCCGAGCGUUAAAUCUCCUAGUCCCCACUGCUGCAUGCCAUAGUUACUUCUGUGAAGACAAGCAGCGAUGUCUACGAGCGAGCGAGUGCUUGGAGGACCAGCGUUUCCUUCAGACUUUCCUUCACACAUCCACGCAAACGAGAAAAUAACUCAGCUCCAUCUCUCUUUUGGUUCAUUCAAGCAAAACUCUAGAAAGCAAAGAGAAGAAGAUAUCUCUCACCUGGUGGCAAUGCCUUGUGAUAGAGAUUCAAUGCCGGCUCGAGAAUUCCACUAAGCCAAGCCAGCUGCUGCCCCCAUCGCUUCUUUUCCCUCGCUGCAUUGUUGCUGCCCUCCUCGGAGUCGCUCAGCUCUUCGGGGCGCCCUCGCAUCGCCGGGUGCACGGCCGAUUGCGAGGCAUCGGGCUUGCUACUGUUGCUAGGGCCGCUACUGCUGUGUGGAUCACCUGAUGAGAUAGAUCGCCUCCUCCAGGCGUGGAUCACGCCCCAGCUUCGCCGCGAUGGCAGAGCCUUCAUAAUUUAGGGCUCUCGCGCUUUUUAGGGCAGAAGAAGCCAAGUCAGCUUUUAGGGCAUUUUCGAGAUAUUUUAUUCAGUCAUCGUUGACUAGCGCAAGUCAACAAUUACGCCUGCCACGUAUCUGCCACGUCUGAUUCCCACGUUUUUCUCUUGUGGUGAUAAUGGCGUUGCUCGUCGAGCGACCGAGCGCCUUCUGGAUCGAGGUGCGCUCCCAGGCAUGGAUCGCGCUCCCCAUGGUCGGCGUCACGCUCCUCCAAUUCGCCGUCACGACCGUGGCGAUCAUGUUCGUGGGGCAUCUCGGAGAGCUGGAGCUUGCGAGCGCCGCGAUCGCUGGAUCGCUGGCCAAUGUCACGGGCUACAGCAUCCUGGUGAGUGAAAUCUUGCGAGAAAGAUCGAUUGGGGACUGAUUCUUGGUGAUAUUUCGAUCGAUUUCUCUUCGGCAGCUGGGGCUGGGGAGCGCUCUCGAGACUCUUUGCGGCCAGGCCUAUGGCGCCAAGCUCUACACGCGCCUUGGGGUCUACUUGCAAAGGGCCGUCUUCGUCGAGUUCCUUGCCGCCAUUCCAAUCGCGAUUGUGUGGUUCUUCAUGGAGCACGUCCUCUUGUUCUUUGGCCAAGACCCUGAGAUCUCCAAAAACGCCGGGGUUUUCGCGAGAUACUUGCUGCCGGAGCUCUUCGCGUUCGUGCUGCUCCAGCCGCUGGACAAGUUCCUCCAGUCGCAAAGCCAGGUCUACGUGAUGCUCGGGGCCUCGUUCAUGAAUUUGCUGCUCAACGCUUUGUUCUGCUGGGUGUCGAUCUACAAGCUGGGGAUGGGAAUCAAAGGGGCGGCAUUGUCGGCGAGCCUGGCGAGCUGGAUCAACGUAUCAGUUCUUUCCACGGUGGUGGCGUGCACACCCGCUUGUAGGCGUUGCUGGGGUGGACUCUCGAUGGAAAUGUUUCGAGACCUCAAACAGUUCAUGGCUCUCGCCAUUCCUUCUUUGCUCAUGCUCUGGUAAGUUUUUGCUUGGUUUAUUUUCCAGCUUUGUCAAUGCGUGCAUCGUUUAUUGGAUUCUUCCUUGCAGUUUGGAAUGGUGGUCACUUGAGGCUCUUGUUUUACUCUCAGGGCUGCUGCCAGAUCCUCAGCUCGAGACCUCGACCUUCACAAUUGUGUGAGUGGCUGCUCUUUUCACUUUUUCCUCAAUGGAUAAACUUUCGUUUUCUUAUUUUCUACUCCAGAUUGAACACGAUCCAAAUUUUCUUCAUGAUCGCUUAUGGCUUGAGUACUGCUGCAAGGUAAGUCGCAUCUUGAUUUUGUUUCACAGUGGAGUCAAAUUUCGAUUUUUAUUCUAGUGUCCGUAUAAGCAAUGCGCUAGGAGCUGGAGAGGCGAAUGCAGCGAAGCUGGCAUUCAAAACAUCCAUAUUCUUUGCAGCCAUUGACGCUGUAAUCGUGAGUACUACUCUGUUCCUGGCCAGGCACAAGCUGGGGCACUUGUUCAGCAACGAAGCCGAGGUUGUGAGCUCCGUUUCUAAGCUGAUGCCGUUCGUGGUUACAAUCAGUAUUGUGGAUGCGUUCCAAGGGGUUGUCUCAGGUUUGAAAAUGGAAAUGGCAUACGGUGACAUGGUUUAAGAUUUUUCUGUCUGCUGUGAACAGGUGUUGCUCGCGGAUGUGGAUGGCAAGCUUUUGCCGCGUUUGCCAACCUUGGCUCUUAUUACGCUGUUGGAUUGCCCGUGGCUUACGUGCUGGCCUUCGUUCUACACAUGAACGGAAAGGUGGGCCGAAAAGACACUGAGUUUCCUUGUCUGACUCACGUGAUUUUUUCACUUUCAGGGCCUGAUCAUUGGGAUUUUGUGUGGCCUUUCGACGCAAGCGAUCUCACUGCUCACUAUUGCUGUAAGAACCAACUGGACCAAGCAGGUAUGCCACCAUUAGUUUUUAAUCGCGGGUCAUGUUUUUUAUGUUUCGUAUUUCUUUCAUGCAGGCACAAAAGGCUUCGGAGCGAAUGCAACUGAUCACACCGUUACUGAGUUGAUACUGCGUGCAACACUGUUACCUGCAUUUUUACUCCCGCAGGGAAGAAAGAAAUUCAAUAGUUAGUUCUUCAAAUAUCUAUCUGGAUUGGUCUUUUAUAGCUAACGUGCUUGUUUUGGUGAUCUCACUAUGUCUGCAAAGUCGAGAUGAGGAGGAGAAAAAUCAUCACACCCAGGUAAAUUUCCUUUAUAUGUAACUUAUAAUCUUUCAAUCUUGACUUUGCAGUGCAGCUCAAGUAAUUGAACACAUCACCUUUAGCAGAUGGAAGAUUGCUGAGCACUUGCAAUGGCCAGGAACCAUCCUCGUUCUGCAUCUUGAGGAGCAAGUCCACAUCUAUCGUGUUCCGGAUUCCAAAACGCCUGCUGGAUCAAAGUCGGGAAUCUCCCUCUUCACUCCGAAAGUCGCGAGGACCCUACCAUACGUGAACAAGAAGUCCUCCUGGCUGAGGUAAUAGCGAGUCCCGUAUACUUAACAGAUAUCCGCCGCUUGACAGAUAUCUCUAGAUCGGCGGACAAUUGGGUGAUCUUCCAUGGAGAGCGCAUACGCGAAAUAGACAACGUUGGCUAUGACGACCGGAUCCACGCGAGGCCGCUCCACGUCCAGGUACGUGAGAAGCUUGUUUUGAUCGUUGACGUUCUCGAGACAAAUCUCCAGGAAGUGCAUGGCUUGACGUAGAGACACAAGUCGACAUGGUGUCGAUGUCCGGCGGAUAGCGCGAGACGUCGGGAUGGCCGCGCUCGAUCAGUACCUGGAGAGAUUUCAUCCAGCCAAGAGGAAUGAUCUCCCGAAGGCAGAGAGAAGAUCUCCGAGACGAGCUCCUGCCCGCCGUUGUCAAACAGGUAGAGUGAUUUGAGCUGCUUGGAUCUCACAUCCUACUUGACUCGAUCCAUCCCCAGCUCCACAGCUCGAGGCAGCAGGAACCGACGCUUCAAGAAGUCCUGGCAAGCUUUCUUGUUGGGCGAGGCAUACUGGAGAGCGAGCAAGCUCUCGAAUGCGUGUAGCGCGACCAUCUCCACGCUUUUGUCGACGAUCACAGCAUGGGACUUGAUAUCUCCAAGGAGGGAAUCUAGAUCGCGGGAGAUUGUAUCGAAGUUCUUCCAGGGAAACUUGCUCCCACUCUUGUCGAGGAAUUUCAAUCCAUCCGAGGAGCUAGUGACAGUAGCUCCUCGCAGCGAAGCGGCCUCGAGCAGCUUGGAAUCCGCGAGGGCUGGCUGCUUGAGCUUGAAUUUGCCCGAGAUUGCGGCAGCGCGAUCGAGCUCCCCGCAAGCAUAGGCGAGGAAGGAGUAGCCCUGCGGAGAAGAUCUCGCCAUCGUCUCCACAUCCAAAGCAAGCAAAUCAUCUUCUGCUAUGAUCGAAUCUAACCCACGCUUAAGGUGCUCUUGCCAUUUGGCAUUUCUAGGUCCAUCUGAACGCCUAAAAGUGUCCGGCAUCUCCCAGAUCGUCAACACAGAGCCAUGACCGAGACUGUCGAACAACCUCGGUGCAGCCGAGGCAUAGAAGGCGACUCUGGGAUCAUUGCGUAAUCAAAGUUUAAGACGCAAGCAGCAAUUCAUAAAGAAUCAUAUAAAGAAAUAGAAAAAAAAAAAUCGCAAAGAAUCUACUGGAACAGCAAAUCCUGGCUGCUCACACCAGGAUCUCCAUGUCUUUGAUCUUGACAUGAUAGCUUGUACUCU
rnacentral:lncRNA from 1 species